UGUUUUUGUGCACUUCUAGCUCUGCUCUGUUGUCAGUCAACGAAUGAUUAAUUGUGGACAAUGUUUUUGUUUUACUGAAAGCCUACGGCCGAAUGAGACAAUUUUAUUUUUAUUUUUUAAGUACUAUCGAUUUUGAGUCAGGAAAUGUAUACUUUUCCACAUAAAAAGAUUGGGAUCAUUUUAUGUGAAGACUGCAAAAAACAGCAGAUAUGGGUAACUCUCUCGUGCUUAAAAAUGAUCAGAUGCAUUUUUUUUUACGGGAAUAGUUAAAACAGCCUAGAGAUACGUAUACGAAGUAAACAACCUGACCGACUGCAACAACAGUGAAGAUGGGUGAGAUCUGCACGUGCGCUAAUGUGGCGCAAACUCUGUGCCCUUAUUUGGAGCAAAUGGGGGAGAAGGAACUGGCGAAAAGUUGAACAACUUAUCAACGAUAGCCUAAAGUUAGUUCUGAAAAGUGAAAAUCCGAAGAGAUGGCAGCAAGAGCAAGCUGGUGUUCGGUCCCUGGCUGCACUUUAUAUAAUAACUAUAAUAAAUAUCACUGUUUUCCGUUGACAGAUGCAGAAGUAGAGAUAAAAACAAGUAAAUAAGAUGUAAACACUCCUACAGCCGAUCUUGCUAAUGUACGUGUCUGUAGUAAGCACUUAAUCGACAAUGACUGCAAAAGAGAUAUACAAUCGGAGCAAAACACCAAAGAAAACUCAAAGACACAGCUGUUCAUUCUGUAUACCCAUGGAAUGGAUCUCGUGUCAUGCCAAAAAAAACAGAAGAGCGUUUGAGAAGGGAAAGCACCAAAGCGAGUGUGCAGAGCAUACUGGUCUCAUAGACUAGACAGUAACAGUAAACGUAAAUCAGUGACACUCAAAUUAGUAUGAUAUACUGUAGUUAUGUUUGAUAUGGUUAUAUAAAUUAGAGGGGUUACUUAAGGCAAAAAUAAAAGGAGGGUGGUUGGUCGGGGUGGAUGUGUUGGUGUAUGAUGCGAACGUCUAGCAACCUAAAGGUUAUGUGUUUUAAUCUCAUCACGGACAACGCUUUUAGCUAAUCCUAACUAACCAUAACCCUUUAACCUAACUCCUAACCUUAACCCGAACGUUAGCCACAGCAAAUUGGAAUUCGUAACAUAUAAAUUUAGCAAAUUCGUAACAUACAGUACUUUUUUUGCAAAUUCGUAAAAUAUUGUACGAAAUGCAAUUCGUAAAGUAUUGUACGAAUUGUAUUCCUAACAUAUCAUAUGACUUGCAAUUUGUAACAUAUAUGAAAUGGUUGAUGGACAUCCACAAAUGAAUACAUACCAUACAAAACGUAACAUAUCAUAACUAAAUGGGGUGUCUCGGAUUUACAUACAGAAUAACAAGAAAUGUUGUGCGGAGGUAUAUAGUCUAAUCAAUGCAGUUCGAGUUGAUCUUAUUGUGUUGUAACCAUUGCACCAUAUCAUGUAGACAUUUAAUUUAAUUUAAAUUGAACCUUUAUUUAACCAUAGCCUAGGCGCUCUACCGGUUAGCAUAUGUGCCUUGUCUUUAUGACAAUGUGGUUGAGGAGAUUAUAGACAGUAAUUGUGUCAUUUUUACAUUGUAACAGACAUUAAUUGUGUGAUCUUACAUUGCAGAAUAAAAAUGAAAGGUGUUGUUGCAUUUUAAUGACUUAUGAUCAGGUCUAGUCGCUUUUAUUCAUAAUCAUAAUCUCCAGUGUCUGAUGUGUUGGUUAGCCAUGGUUUAUUUGCAUGAGAACAUGUCAUGCUUUAACAACUGUAUAGCCUUGCAAGAAAUACAUGGCCCCAGGAACCACCUGGGGUAGGCCUAUUUGGCCGCAUGUAGUCUGGUCUAUUGUGUAUUUGUAACCCCCACCUCUACUGUCGAUAGUGGUCAUGAGUAUCAUAACAAUUUAAUUACUUUUAGCCCCAUGGACACAAAACAUUUUUAUUACAGAUUAUAAACCUGGUAUCACAUUAUACUUGUGUGUUACUGUUAGAGACUAUCUGACUUGAUCCCGUGUUAAUCUAUUUAUAAUUCUAUAAUUAGCCUAGCAGUAGUAAUUAUCAUGUUAUGGGUUGAGAUGGAAUGAUCUAUGCAUUAUAUUUGUAGCGGUAGUAAUUAUUGUGUUAUGGGUUGAGAUGGAACGAUCUAUGCAUUAUAUUUGUAGCGGUAGUAAUUAUUGUGUUAUGGGUUAGAUGGAAUGAUCUAUGUGCAUUGUAUUUGGGCAGAGGGAAAGGGGGCCUGUCUCUUGAGGCCAAGAAUGAUUCCACGAGGGUUGAAUAGCAGACAUGUGCCUGGAGUUAGCGCUGAUAGAUCAUAAUUACUCAUCUAUAACACUUUCUUAUAUCUUUACUGUUUUAUAUCAUUAUAUACACUUGGUGUGAAUGUACCCUUUUUAUAUAUUCAUAGAGAUUGAAAUUAGUGCUAGGUUUAAGCUCUUUGUGUAUGAGAAGUGUAAUUAUCUAGUGGUCUGCAGUAGGAAUGUGUACUUCCAAUAACUCAAGGCCUCUCCUGACUGACAAGAAGACCCGUGAAAGGCACGGAGGAAUACGAAAGCUCUGGAUUUAGGCUGGGACACGAUAACACCGACGGGAGGAACAGACUCAGUUCUUGCCCAGCAACAGAGAUUGAUUGUUUAACACAGAAAUACAACAAGGUCACUCCGCCUAAUCGGAAGGUAUAAAUAUAUGUGCUUGUGUGACCUGUAGGGGUGGUUUUGCAGCUGUAACACCCAGUGUUGUGAAUAAAUCAAGCUGGAGUUUUACUUGGGAGUCUGUCGGGAUUAUUGUACCAGAAAUUAGAAUCCAACCGUUAGGAUGGAAGUUUUUCUUUGUCAAUACAUAUAACAAUAGUAAUUUAGCAUAUAACCCAUACGAUAUCAACUGUCAAUAGCUUUCACGUUUAGAAUUGUAUGUAUCAGGAACUCCCAUUGUGUCACAAAUAACUGUGAGGUCAAUUUCCCCAACUCACUCGGCAGGUUUUGGGCUCAAUGGAUUGGUCUUCAAAGGACCCCAAAGAACUUCAAGCUCCUCUGGCACCCAUGCAUCCUGGUCCCCUACCCGUCUCUUAAAGCUCUGGACCUUCUACCCAUGUGUCCCCUACCACUAAGAAGACCAGGCAGGAGGUAACCAGCUCUGUAUUUGGCACUUGGUAUUGCAUUAUGAAAACAUGCAUUUCACAUUUGAUUCAAAUGGGUGACAGUAAAGCUGCUUUAAAUGUGUCAUAAUGCGGUCAAUCUUCUCUCGGCAUCUUGAGUCCAUGGGCUUUGCAACUGUGUCCAGAGCUUCAGAUUCACCAGAAAGGAUCCAAGAGUCUUCGGAGGAUCAGGGAACUGCAUCCAGCUACAGCAGCCUCCUUCACAUUGUCCUGCACAACAUCCACGAUCUUCACCUUCCCAGCUGGACACAAGCUUUAGCUCCCCUGAUUACAAGGACCAGGGCUCUGACGACAUACUGUACCUCCAACAUCCACCAAAUCAAGUCUGGAGUCUUGAGUUCGACUCAACCACAUCUUAAACAAACCGUGAUCAGUGGACCCAACGGAAGUAUACUGUGCAUGGAGUCCAAGAUCAUGGAUCUAAUCAAGCUUAUCCAAAAGUGUUGGUCUGCCAUAAUCAACACCAGCAAAAUAUUAAAAGGAAGACAAAUCGAGAUCAACUGGCAGAGCGCAUCAAAGGAUGUAUGGGGAGUUGGGAAUCUUGCCCGAAUGUUAGAAGGAUGUCACAGGCUAAUGUAGUUGCACCGUCUUCAGUGCUGUUUACUGGUGACACUUUCACAGAUAUAAAAUACUAGGCUGAACUAUGUCCAAUACAGUUCCCUUCACAAACAACAUACUUUUUAGUCCUCUUACUUCCUACCCGUCACAACCCAGGAUUACAGACAGACUGAAGCAGGAAAAGAUCAUUUCCACUAUGGUUCAGGAUGGAAAUGAAGGCAAAGCUGUGCACAUCUGUGGUGAUGGAAGGAAUGACAGCCCUGGCUGGCUACUCCGCUAAAUGUACGACAUAUAGCUUCAUGGAUGACAAGACCAAGAAAGUAAUUCAAGCUAAUGUGAUUUCGGUCACUGAAGCCACCAGGUCAAUUUCAAGGACUGAACAGCAUACUGACAGAGGGUGUACCUGUAGCGUUUAUAACUACUCUUGUUCACCAGGGCUGGCACAGUUAUCGUAUAAUCGUGUAACAGACAAUUAUGGACAAUAAACGUGAACUCAAAAAUA